AGAAGAGACACCAAGACCAAGACGAUUCUUAUAAAGGAAAGCAUUUAAUUGGCGCUGCCUUUUAGUUCCAUUAUUACGAUGACAGGGAGCGCAGCAGCAAGCAAGCAGACGUGGUGCUGGAGAAGGGGCUGAGAGCUUUACGUCUUGAUCUGUAAGCAGCAAGCAGACAGACAGAGAGAGAGAGAGGGAGAGAGAGAGAGAGAUGAGAGUUUUUGAAACCUCACAGUCAACCCCAGUGACAACUGUCUUCUAUUAAGGCCACGCCCUAUUCCAACAAGGUCAAACCUCCUAACCCCUUCAAACAGUAUAUCAACUAGGGACGAAGCACACAAAUAUAUGAAAUAAGAAGGUGAGGAGGGCACAGAGAAAUGGACGCCACUCUUUGGACACAGCUCUCCUGACCACCCAGUAUCUAAAACCCCAUAAUUGCGCCUGCUUUCAUCACUCUUAAGUCUUUCUUGGGCUCAGUGUGUCCUCAUGCAUUUACUCAGGCGUCUCUGUCACGAUGCUAUCCUUCCAGCCUGGAUGGGGAGCUCCAUGUAGCCAGAGACCUGGUUUGUCUGUGUUCCUGGUGACAAGAGUCCUGUACUUGGAAGAAAGAUACGUUGGGAUAAAAAGCAUCCUUCACUCCACAAGAUAGAAAGAAGACGGAGACUGGGGAUCUACACAGGGAGCCACGGCUAGGGCCCUGCAAGGAGGACUGUGACAGGGAUUCGUAGCUCAAGUGGGCACGGCAUCUGCAACAACAGAACAGCGCAGAACUGGCCAUCCCUGAGAAUCUCAGUUUGCAUCGUUUUGCUCAGUCGGGGGAGGAGCAUCAGAUUGAAUACACAGCAAAUGUGGAUCAAGAAGGCCUCCAUGGGGUCUAGUGUGGAACACUAAGAAAUGAAAGAAAAUAAAUAAAUAAAUAAAUAAAUAAAUAAAUUGUGUGUGUGUGUGUGUGUGUGUGUGUGUCCUGAGUUCCUGUGGCUCCCAAGCCUGUGGCCUCUCUGUGCCCUCUCUGGGCCUCACUUUCUCAUUC
rnacentral:lncRNA from 1 species